UGUCACAAAAUGCUGUACAGAAACCCAACCUAAAACCCCAAACAGCAAGCAAUUCAGGUGUAGAAGCACGUUGUAUAUGUACAGUUCCAUUGUAUAUGACAUCAUCAACAUUAGACAGCAUCAAUUAAAGACUCAAGGUCUGUCUCUGUUGAGUUGAAGCCCAAUCCAGCAGGAAAGACCAGAUUCACCUUAUCCCAGCUGUGUGUCCAUGAAGAGUGACCAGUCUAUGUCCCAUAGACUAUAUGUAUUCAGAAAGGGACAUGGUUCUACUGAACAAAGGCUGCCUGGUCACAGAGGAAGGCUGUGACCAAAUCCCUCCCAUCUGAGAGAACUGGACCUGAGCUACAACCACCCAGGAGACUCAUGAUUAAAGCUGCAGGACUGGAGGAUGGAAAACUGGAAAAACUCAAGACAAUGACCCAACACACCUCCAGGUUGUGUAAGGGCUAUUUCACCAAAAAGGACAGUGAUGGAGAGCUGCAUCAGAUGACCUGGCCUCCACAAUCGCCCGACAACCCGAGAUUCUUUGGGAUGAGCUGGACCGCAGAGUGAAGGAAAAGCAGCCAACAAAUGCGCAACAUAUCUGAUAACUCCUUCAAAACUGUUGGAAAAGCAUUCCAGGUGAAGCUGGUUGAGUUAAUGCCAAGAAUGUGCUGUCAUCAAGGAAAAGGGUGGCUGCUUUGAAGAAUCUAAAAUAUAUAAUAUAUUUUGAUUUGUUUAACACUUUUUUGGUUACUACAUGAUUCCAUAUGUGUUAUUUCAUAGUUUUGAUGUCAUCACUAUUAUUCUACAAUGUAGGAAAUAGUCCAAAUAAAGAAAAACCCUUGAAUGAGUAGGUUUGUCCAAAACUUUGACUGAUACUGCAUAUAUAACAAUAUUUUGUUUUAAAUAAUCAUUUCAUACUUCAAUGGCAUU